GACGAACGCUGGCGGCGUGCCUAAUACAUGCAAGUCGAGCGAUGAAGAUUGGUGCUUGCACCUUUUUGAAGAGCAGCGGACGGGUGAGUAACGCGUGGGGAAUCUGCCUUUGAGCGUGGGACAACUUCUGGAAACGAAUGCUAAUACCGCAUAACAACUUUAACCAUAAGGUUUAAGUGUGAAAGAUGCAAUUGCAUCACCCAAUGAUGAUCCCGCGUUGUAUUAGCCUGUUGGUGAGGGAAAGGCCCACCAAGGCGACGAUAACGAACCGACCUGAGAGGGUGAUCAGCCCCAUUGGGACUGAGACACGGCCCCAGCCCCCACCGGGGGCAGCAGUAGGGGAUCUUGGGCAAGGGGCGGAAGUCUGACCGAGGCACGCCGCGGGAGUGCAGAAGGUUUUCGGAUUGUAAAACUCUGUUUAUAGAGAAGAACCUUGGGGGGAGUGGAAAGCUCAUCAAGUGACGGUACCUAACCAGAAAGCGACGGCUAACUACGUG
rnacentral:rRNA from 1 species